rnacentral:misc_RNA from 1 species
UUUCUAAGUGUUUGGACUGGUCAGGAUUCCGUGGAAUAAUACCAAGCCCCUGUGCCUCUUCCCCAGUAGAUAACAAGUAUUCUCUGACCUUAUCAACAAAUUCACUGCCCAACAUAUUGUCAAUAGCAAUAUCGAUGUCAUAACAGUCCUUGCCGAGAAGCUUGUCGCGAACCCAACCGCCGGCGACACGGAGCUCGGUUUGGAGAUUGAAGUGGAGGAGAGUGUUGAGAAGUCGAUCGAAUAUCUUUUUCUCAAUCUCCGUCAGUUCAAUCUUGUCCUUUAUUUGAAAACGAACCACUGCUUCUAGUGAAGAUGUCCCCAUCGCUCUGCAGCGACAGCGACGAAGAAUAAGGUGGCCUGGAGCUCUGGUUCCGGUUGGGAACUGAAAGUUUCGAAACGUG